GGGAUUUAAAGGAUGUAAAAACAUGAGUGAGUAAUCAAGCCAGUAAAAUUCGAAAGACUAGAACAGGGGAUCAUAGCAUGUUUCUGAAAGGGGAACUUGAACAUUAUUGAGAAAUCAGUAUGUCCCAAGUAAUUUUUAGGCUUUUUCCAAUUCUAAACAAACCAUGCAAGGAUUUUAAAUCAUGAUAGCAUUUUUUAAAAAAUAAAGUAAGCAACAAUGGUUAAAGAAUGCUUGAAAAAUGGAACUGGAAGUUGGUAUUUGCUUAUUAGAUGCUAGAGAAUUAGGUAAUAGUUAAAGCAUGUUAAAUACUGAGACUAGCCAGAGAAAAUAGUGACCAAGAAGAGAGCAAUAACCUGGAACUUAAGUUUAUAAAAUAGAAAAGUAUAAUAGGAGAAUACCUUUCAAAUGGAUGUAGUGGCUCAUGCCUGUCAUUCCAGCAACUUGGAAGCUGAGGCAGAAGAAUCUCAAGCUUGAGGUCAGCCUCAGGAACUUAGUGGGACCAUCAGCAACCUAGCAAGACCCCCCCAGCAAUUUAGUGAGAACCUGUGUUUUAGUCAGCUUUUUUUUACUGCUGUAAACAUAAGACAUGACAAAAACAAUUUUGAAGAGAAAAAAUUUAUUUUGUGGCUCACAGUUUCAGAGGUCUCAGUGCAUAGACAGCUGGCUCCAUUUCUCAGAGCCUGUGGAAAGGUAUAACAUCAUGGUGAAAGGGUGUGGUGGAGGAAGGCAGCUCAAUGUGGGGGAGGGAAGGAGAGGGGGAGGGAGGAAGAGAGAGAGAGAGAGACUGACUACUCUGUUCAACAAGGACAAAAUAUAAACCCCAAGAUAACACCCAAUGACCAACCUCCUCCAUCUAUACCCUACCUGCCGAUAGUUACCACCUAGUUAAUUUUUAUCAGGGGGUUACUGCACUGAUUAAAUUAAGAUUCUCUUAACCCAAUAUUUUCACCUCAAAACUUUCUUGCAUUGUCUCAUGAGCUUUUUUUUUUUUUUUUUUUUUUUUUUUUUUUGGUAUAGGGAUUUAAUUCAAGGGCACUCAACCACUGAGUCACAUCCCCAGCCUAUUUUGUAUUUUAGUUGUUUAGAGUCUCGCCAUUGCUGAGGCUGGCUUUGAACUCAGUCCUCCUGCGUCAGCCUCCCAAGCCACCGGAAUAUACAUGGGCUUUUGAUGGAUGCUUGAUAUCUAAAUAAUAACACCCUGUCUCAAACUAAAAUAUAAAAAAGGGGGGGAUAUUGUUCAGUGGUAAAGUGCCCCUGUGUUCAGUCUCCAGUACAAAAAAAUUAUACAUACACAUACACACACACACUCACAUACACACAAACACACCCACCCACACAGAAAUGAAUUGCAAAUGUAAGGGUAAGGAAUUGUUUCUAAGUAAUGCUAGUAAAAUUAACUUUUUGAUGAAAAUUAUAUCAGAUUAUUGCAUCACAGCAUACAUAUAAAUAAAUUAAAGAAUUAAAAAUUCAACUAUAACAAAUGGGAAAUGGGACAGAAGAACAUUUAUAUCAUCCCUUAAGAGGAAGGACUACCUCAUCAAAAAGCAACAGAAAAUACCAUAGGAAAAGAAAACAUAUUUGACCAUAUAAAAAUAUAGAGUUCUGGACUUAAAGUACAGAUAAAAGGAAAGGGCAAAUCACAAACUAGGAAAGACUUAUACAACAGACGUCACACAAAAAAGCAUGUUACUAUCAUUUGUCAAAACUGCAAUACUGGUUACAUCCAAUUCCCAGCCUGUCAGUCUUAAACCUUCACAGAUGCAAGUGUCUGAUGAAAAAUACCAUGUGCAGUGGUCUAACUUUAAAUUGGCUGUUAAUUGCCUUCAAGUGAGACUUCAGUCUGCUUCUAAAAUUGUAAUAUAUUUGCCUGGUUCAUUCAGUCUCCCACAUUCCCCAAUCACUAUUUCAUACCCUCUCCUCACACUGCAAACUUUCAGCACCUCCUUCCCAUCUUCACUCUAAAUUGAUGGGUUUGCUUGUUUGACACAGAACUUCCACACACACCUUUUACUGUAUCAGCCCACCUUCCUCCAGUUCCAGAAGAUCUGUCUCUGCUCCCAGGCAACCCCUCCCCAAAGGCUCUAGUUCCCAUGCCUUCUCACCUACUCAAAGACAAGGAUGUGUCUCCAGCAAUCUGACCCUCCCCCCUCAACUGGAUUAUGCCCUACCGCUUACAGUCAUAAUAUCACAUUUUUUUUUUCACAUUCUUAAAAAAAAAUCCCUUUUGUCUUACUUCCCACCAAGUUGUUCCUCCAUAUCUGCUCUCCUCUGCAGCAGACUUCAUGGAAGAACUGACAUAUACCUCCUUGACAUUUCUAAUUCCUGCACUUUUGUUCUCUCUUAAACUCAAUCCAUUCAGACUUUUGCCCUCCCCCAACUUCAUGGCAACUGCUCUUGUCAAGGUCACCAUAACCUUCAGUUUUGAUAUCUAAAAUGGUGCUCCGUGUCUUUCUACAGCCCCCGCAAGUUGUUCCACUUGCAGCCUUCUCCAUGUCAGUUAAUGACACCAUCUUUCUAGUUAUUUAGACCCAAAAUCUGGAAGUCAUAUUUGACUCAUUUUCUCAUACUGUGCUUUCAGUAACACAGUGAUUCCAUCUUCCACAGAGAUCCAGAUGCUGAUCAUCUUGUCCCAUGGUCACUGCUACCACCCUUGUACUCCACAUCUCAAAUGGAUCAAUAUGAAAUCUCCUGAUUUUCCUCUUUUUUACCCUUGCUAUUUUUGUUCUUCAGCCAACAGUCAGAAUGACUCCUAAGUCAGGUUAGCAUGUCAGAUCAGUGCUCAAAACACUCCAAUAGAUUCCUGUUGCAGAAUAAAAAUGUCCUCAUAUAUGAUACACCCCCUCUUCCUCCUCAACUUCUAAACUCUCUCCUUGUUCUCUCUUCUAGCCACAGUAGUCUUCUUUCUGUUCCUGCAAAAAAACCAGAUGUGGUCACACCUUUUCAAUGGCUCUCUGUCUGGACUGUCUAAACUCAGACGUCCACCUGGGUUUCUUGCUCCCUCUUUUGUAUCUUCACCCAAGUAUCCCCUUCUCUGACCACUCUUUGCAUCUCUACCUGCAAUAUCUCUUUCCCCUCCCUUGCUUAAUUUUCACCUUAGUACUCAUCAUGCUCUCUCAUACUAUAUAAUUUAUUUAUUUUAUUGUCUUUCUGCCCCCUUAGAAUGAAAGCUCCAUGAUGUCAGGGAUUUUUGUAUGACUUUUUACAGAUGCAGUCUCAGUGCUGGCACAUUAUUGAUUGUUUAAUAAAAAAUUGUUGGAUAAAUUAAUGAAUUAAGUUUAAUGCCUAUAUAAAGACCAAAUGGAAGUGUAAGUCUCUUCUAAAUUCCCAAGAUGUAAUUUGAUAAUAUAUAUCAGAAGUCUUAAAUACUCAAUUAUUUCACUCCUAGAAAUUCAUCAGUACAGGUUUUCCCUAGUUAGUAUAAGGGAAACAUUGUUCCAGAGUAUUAAGAAGUAUGUGGGGAAGAAAGAGAAAGAAAAUUCUGAGAAAACAAAUUGCUUUACCUGCUGUAGUUCUCAGAGUUAGUUACAUUAUAAAUUACCUAGGGAACUUUAAAAUAUGUUAAUGCCUGUGUCCCACCUUGAGGGAUUCUGAUUUAAUUGGUUGAACUGGUUGUCUCUCUUUUUGUGAUAUUAGCGGCCUUUGGUGAUUAUGACUGAGAUCCAUUAGUUCAUUAGGAGACGAAGGUGGUAAUCCUGUUAUCUCCCGGUUUGUGUUCUUUAAUACACAAAAUGAAGGAUUCAAGUAAGUACUUUAUCUGGAAGCAUCCUUCCACCUGGGACACACUUUGCUCAUAUAAGAAAUGCUCUUAAUUAGGGGUUUGUGUGGAAACAUGUAUUGUUUCUUCCUGGUGAUUUACGUGUGUGUGUGUGUGUGUGUGUGUGUGUGUGUGAGAGAGAGAGAGAGAGAGAGAGAGAGAGAGCGCUUGCUAAUGCUCCAAAAUAAGAGAGCAUCUAUUUUUACUAUAGAGAAACUAUGAUAGUAAGUCAGAAUUCUGUAUAGUCCUCAAGUCCAUUCUAACGUGUGUCAGGCAUGAUGAUAGGGUCUCUCACAUACUUUUUGUAAGGCCUGUUAAAGAGUAGGGCUCUGAGACCAUGAAAGCUAGAUUUAUACACUGUUUUCUUCAUUCAUAUCUGUUCAUUCCCAGUGUUCUGGGAACAUCAGCACCAUACAGUAUUCUUAGAAUUCUGCAGGACUUUUUAUUCUGCAAAAACCUUUACUGCUCAGUUUGUAUAUGUGAUAUGUUGGAUUUUCUACAAUAUCCAUUAAAGUAUGAGGACCAUGAUAUCUGAACCAAUUAAAUAAAUCUUCCACCAGUAAAAAAAUAUUUUGCCCUGUUAGUUCUGAUGGAAAUAUUUUUAUUUUUCAUAAAUGAUAAAUUUGAGCAACUUUUUAGAAGUAUGGUACACUUGAAGAAGCUUUUGAGAAUGUAGAAGCCUCUGUCAUUAAAAAGAUAAUCAGUUGAUUUGAAUUAAUCUGUUAAGGGAUUAAGAGAAACUACAAAGUUAUUUCUCACAAGUAGAUUCCACUGCCUCCACACAGUCAGACACCGGGGAUCACAUGUUACUGAAUUUGUCACGGUGAUUUACAAAACCUUUGAGAAAUUAAAUUACCCAUUUAGAUAAUCAAAGAAGGGACAUGUUAGGACAAAUAACUUGUUUUUAGAAAAAGUUAUAUGUACCAGUUAAUUUAAAAUCAUACCUCCAUAACUCACUAUAAAAUCAGAACAAUCAUUUUACAUAUUAAGUAACAUAUUAAGUGGUAAGUGCUUAUAAGUAUAAUAGGCCUGGCACAGAGCAGAUGCUCAGGGUGUGUCAGCAUUGAUCAUUCUGAUUUGUGUAGCUACUACUGCAUUUAUAACUAAACAUUAUUUCUGAGCCUUUUGGUUAAAUCUUUUAAAGAAAAUUAAGACUUUUUUUUUUACCUUGCCAAUUAUGUUACAAAGUGGAUUAUUUAUGUAACAUGAGAACACUGUGGUUCUUCUAAAUUUUUUUUAUUCUUAGUUUCACCACACUAACCAUCUAUUAUCAAACAGUCCUUGUUGAGCUGUUUUUUUGAUGUUGUAAUAGUUCUAGUUCUUUUUUUGUUGGUAAUGGUGUUGGUGGUGGUUAUUUUAUUUUUUUGCUUUUUUAUUUUAUUUUAUUUUUUUUAGUACUGGGGAUUGAACCCAGGGUGCUUUACCACUAAGCUACAUACCCAGUUCUUUUUUUGGAACAGAGUCUUGCUAAGUUGUUAAGGCUGGCUGGCUUUGAACUUCCAAUCCUCCUGCCUGCAGCCUCCUGAAUCCCUUGGGAUUACAGGCAUGCACUACCACGCCCAUUUCUUGUAAUUGUUUUACAUAAAUGGAUAGUGCCACGUGGGAAUGAUUUUAAUAAUUCCAGAAACUAAAGCCUGUAAGUGAGUAUAGGUAGUGGGUGCUGGACACAAUUUACAUGAAACCUUUAUCAAUGAGGACUUUUAUCAAUGAGAUAUUGAAAACCUUUUAAUACAGAAUUCUAGUGGAUGCUUUUCUGUAUCAUACUGAGUCUCACUAAGCAAUCCCUUCAUGAAAAUUUAUGGUGUUGAGUUUCUGGGCACGAAGUAGAAGAGGCCAUCAUUUUAGAAUAAGUUUAUUUUUGGCUGUGAAAAACAAAGAAGGUCCAAAGAACACACAAGCUUUAGAAGGCAGAAGACCAGAAGACUGUGAAGUAAUAGUGUGAAUAUCCUAAAAAAUCAGCAAUAUAAUAAUUAUUACCUAACUGGGUGCACUGAGUGGCAGAUCUCCUUGUUUAUGUAAUUGAACGUUAAUAUUGGGAAAGGUUGUUUGCCUAGUGAUUGUUCUUCACAUCCCCUUUCUCUUUUCACUAACCAUCACCUUUGGGGAGUGAUUUGGGAGUAGUUGAAACCAACUAGCCUAACUUAAAAAAUUCCAAUACUGCCUGCACUAUCUUGUUUCUCAAAGCUGUCUUUAGUUUUGGUUAAUGAAAAAGCAUAUGGUUGCCAUUUCCUUUCUGAGAACUGCUGAGUUACUAGGGAAGGAAGUAGGAGAUGUUCAGCUGAGCUGUAUAGUGGGGGAGGGAGAUUUGGGAAGGGUUGGGCCAGCAAAAGCAGAGCACUAGCUUCUGCUUUUGCUGGGCUUGGUUUCCUAAGUGUCUGCUUCCUCUUUAUAAAAUGUCAACAUAAUUAGUCUGAGCAACCCUACAUAAUCUCCUCUUUCUGGGGGUAAAUAACUGAGAAUUUCAGGAGUGGCUAACUUUCUUUGCCAAAUACUUGGCCACAAAUCUACUUAACAUUCUUAAUUGGUUUCCUGUUUGUAUCUUUUUAAGAACUCAUCAAACUUUUUUUUUUUUAAAGUUCUGAUUUAAAUAUUGCUCAUAUGAGAGUGUUUUGCCUGCAUUAAAAAUAAGCUUUGAGGAAUGUCUGAUUGAAGUGUCUGUCAGAUAACCAUGGUGAACAGGAAGUUCUUUUCUGGAUUUGGAGUCUGGGGGAGACCUAAGGUUGGACCUUAGUUCUGCCAUUAACUGGCAUGUUUUCAUUUGAUGUAGAAAUCAUGCUCAUCAUAUUAUUUUACACCAUUUUCCAAUAUUACAUCAUUGUCUUUGGCACUCUGAGCCCUUUUGUCUGUGAACUGGAAGCUUCUGCUUCUUUAGAAAAAAAUCUUGACUCUCUUACUAAUGUUGUGAUUAUUUUUGAAACUUUUUUUAGGGUAAUAAUAUAGCUAUUCUUGCAGAUAAUCAGAAAGGAGAAAAAACUUGCAUGUUUCUUACAUACAAAUUCUUUGACAUGCCUCCCAACAUUUCUGUUGAUGAUCAGUUAACUAGAUGCUUAUUUUUUUUAAGAAUUAAUUUUUAGUUGUCCUUUUGCUACCACCUUAUUUCUUCCAUCGUUUUAAAUAAUCCCACCACUGAACUUUAAAUAUAAAAAUAUUUCUUAGCCGGAGACCUCUGGAGUAAAGAUUGCCUACAUUCAGAACCCAGUUUGAUCAUUCUCCAGCUAUGUGGUUUCUGGUGAGUUUUCUCAUCCUUAAAAUGGGGAUUAAAAUUAGCACUCCCUAUAAAGGACCCAUGAAAAGAUCAGUGUUAAGCGAUUACUCUUUCCUUUAAUAAUAGAAAAUUGGCUACUAGAAAAUAUUGAGUAUCCAUCAACCAUUUGCUAGACACGAGUUAAAUGUUUUCUGAUCCUAUUUCAUCCUCUAUGAGGUAGGGAUCUCAGGUCUGUUUUUCUGAUGAUUAAAUUAUGGACCAAAGGUCACACAACUGGUAAACAGUUCAAGGCCAGGUUUGUUUCUAAAGCACAUUUUUUUCUUUCUUCAGGUUAUGUUUCAGGGUUUCCCGACGCUGAUAUAUGAUUACUUUUGAUUUUAUAAAAACAAGUGUAAAUUAAAAGAAAAGUCAAAUGACGAAGGAAACCUGUCUGCAAAGAUAUUUAACUGCUUGUCUAUCUUCUUUGUUUUGUAGAGUGAAAAGUGAAAGACCAGGUAGGAUGGUCUGUGUUGAAGACCUGCCUGUUGAGCUGCCUGUAUGAUCUUCAUCAAGCAACCCUCAUCUUUCUGGAUCCCAGUUUAAAUAUGCUUAAAAUGGUGAAGCUGAGCUGAUCUCCAAAUUCCCUUCUGGUCCGAAAACUCCAAUGUUACAACCAUGGAACCAUUCACCAUCCCAGCCCGUUUUUCCUUGAUCCUGAACACAGCUAACCAUGCCAGAGCCCUGUUCUAAUUCAAUUGCAUACUUUUGCACCCGCUGAAUCCUAAACUCAAUCGUUCCCGUGACCGCAGGACCAAAGGGCAUGGGUUGGGGACCGAACGCUGAGUGGCAAGGAGAGAAAGGGAAGAAGACCCUGACGUUGGCCAGCUUGUAGUAAAAGCCGGCAGCAGGAAAGUUAAGCAGGGAAGAAUUGACGUUGCGCAGCG
rnacentral:lncRNA from 1 species